AGUGUUAAAUAGAUUUCUAUGUUUAAUUACGGUUUAAAAAGAUUAAUACUUUUG
rnacentral:tRNA from 1 species